rnacentral:rRNA from 1 species
UACGAAGGGGGCUAGCGUUGUUCGGAAUUACUGGGCGUAAAGCGCACGUAGGCGGAUACUUAAGUCAGGGGUGAAAUCCCGGGGCUCAACCCCGGAACUGCCUUUGAUACUGGGUAUCUCGAGUCCGGAAGAGGUGAGUGGAAUUCCGAGUGUAGAGGUGAAAUUCGUAGAUAUUCGGAGGAACACCAGUGGCGAAGGCGGCUCGCUGGGACGGUACUGACGCUGAGGCGCGAAAGCGUGGGGAGCAAACAGG